rnacentral:rRNA from 1 species
UACGUAGGGUGCAAGCGUUGUCCGGAAUGAUUGGGCGUAAAGAGCUCGUAGGCGGUUUGUCGCGUCGAAUGUGAAAACCCGGGGCUCAACUCCGGGCCUGCAUUCGAUACGGGCAGACUAGAGUUCGGUAGGGGAGACUGGAAUUCCUGGUGUAGCGGUGAAAUGCGCAGAUAUCAGGAGGAAAACCGGUGGCGAAGGCGGGUCUCUGGGCCGAUACUGACGCUGAGGAGCGAAAGCGUGGGGAGCGAACAGG